ensembl:lincRNA predicted gene, 34225
GCAUUUUCUAAACCACAAGCUCAAGCAUAUCACUUUUCUAUUUCAGAUGCUUCUUGCGCCCUGAUGAUAUCACAGAACACAGUGUCACAAACUGCACCCUUCGAAUUACAAGCCUAUUUUGACCAAGACAUCUCUCCCUUCGUCCCGCCACUUUCUUGUUCAGUGUCCACGACUUGCUGUUCUCAGCUCACCGUUGCGCAUGCCACUCGAGACUGGGGGAAGGUCCUUAGUGAUUAAAACCUUGUACAAUCAUCAGGGACAUAAGUAGAAGUAACUCGGUCCUCAGCAUCCAAUGGGAGGGGCAGAUACAAAGCAUCUUAUCCUGUGAGUGUGUCUGAGAGAUGUUUGCAGACAGAAAUUGCGGAUAGGAGAUCAUCCCCAAGAGAAGUGAGAGAAAAUCCAGUUGCCUGGAAGUAAAGAAAGGAACUUCUUAAGUAUCUGGGAAGCACAGUAGCUUUAGCUCUAGACCCUGUGGCUCUGCUUUAUAUUACUCUAAUCCCCUUAAGGCCUCAACUAUGUCUAAUACAUCUUUGGUAACUCCAAACCUAACCUAACAAAAUAACUUGGCAUAACAUAUG